rnacentral:rRNA from 1 species
AGAGCUAAUACAUGCAAAAAAGCUCUUUCCGAAAGGGUUGAGCGCAUUUAUUAGAAUAAAAACCAAUCGGGUCUAAAAGCCCGCUGUUUGGUGAAUCUGAAUAACUUUGCUGAUCGCACGGUCCUAGUACCAGCGACGUAUCUUUCAAGUGUCUGCCUUAUCAACUUUCGAUGGUAGGUUAUACGCCUACCAUGGUAGUAACGGGUAACGGAGAAUAAGGGUUCGACUCCGGAGAGGGAGCCUGAGAAACGGCUACCACAUCCAAGGAAGGCAGCAGGCGCGCAAAUUACCCACUUCCAGAACGGAGAGGUAGUGACGAAAAAUAACGAGACAGUCCUCUCUGAGGUCUGUCAUCGGAAUGGGUACAAUUUAAAUCCUUUAACGAGGAUCUAUUGGAGGGCAAGUCUGGUGCCAGCAGCCGCGGUAAUUCCAGCUCCAAUAGCGUAUAUUAAAGUUGUUGCGGUUAAAACGCUCGUAGUUGAAUCUGCGGCCUGGGAGAAUGGACCCCCGAAAGGGUGGUAACUGUUACUCCUAGCCAAAAUUUUUAGUCUACUCUACGGUGCCUUUAACCGGGUGCUUAGAGUGACUAGAACGUUUACUUUGAAAAAAUUAGAGUGCUUAAGCAGGCGAAUUUGCCUGAAUAAGGUGCAUGGAAUAAUGGAAUAGGACCUCGGUUCUAUUUUGUUGGUUUUCGGAGCCUGAGGUAAUGAUUAAGAGGAACAGACGGGGGCAUUCGUAUUCCGGCGCUAGAGGUGAAAUUCUUGGACCGCCGG